rnacentral:rRNA from 1 species
AAACAUGUCUUUUUGAAUUAAAUUUAAAGUCUGACCUGCCCACUGAAUAAUUUUAAAUGGCCGCAGUAUUUUGACUGUGCAAAGGUAGCAUAAUCAUUAGUCUUUUAAUUGAAGGCUGGUAUGAACGGUUGGACGAAGUAUAAGCUGUUUCAUAUAAAUUUAUAAUAGAAUUUUAUAUUUUAGUUAAAAAGCUAAAAUUUUAUUAAAAGACGAGAAGACCCUAUAAAUCUUUAUAUUUAAUAUAAACUAAAUUUUUUUGAUUUAUUUUAUUUUUUUUAUAUUAAUUAUUUUGUUGGGGUGAUAUUAAAAUUUAAUGAACUUUUAAUUUUUUAAAUCAUUAAUUUAUGAAUUAUUGAUCCAUUAAUAUUGAUUAUAAGAUUAAGUUACUUUAGGGAUAACAGCGUAAUUUUUUUUGAGAGUUCAUAUCGACAAAAAAGUUUGCGACCUCGAUGUUGGAUUAAGGUAUAAUUUUGGGUGUAGCCGUUCAAAAAUUAAGUCUGUUCGACUUUUAAAUCCUUACAUGAUC